rnacentral:rRNA from 1 species
GACAGAGGGUGCAAACGUUGUUCGGAAUUACUGGGCGUAAAGCGCGUGUAGGCGGCUUGGCAAGUCGGGUGUGAAAGCCCCGGGCUCAACCUGGGAAGUGCACUCGAAACUGCUUCGCUUGAGUACUGGAGAGGGUAGUGGAAUUCUCGGUGUAGAGGUGAAAUUCGUAGAUAUCGAGAGGAACAUCGGUGGCGAAGGCGGCUACCUGGACAGUUACUGACGCUCAACUACGAAAGCGUGGGGAGCAAACAGG